rnacentral:rRNA from 1 species
AUUGAACGCUGGCGGCAUGCCUUACACAUGCAAGUCGAACGGUAACGGGUCCUUCGGGAUGCCGACGAGUGGCGAACGGGUGAGUAAUAUAUCGGAACGUGCCCAGUAGUGGGGGAUAACUGCUCGAAAGAGCAGCUAAUACAGCAUACGACCUGAGGGUGAAAGGGGGGGAUCGCAAGACCUCUCGCUAUUGGAGCGGCCGAUACCAGAUUAGCUAGUUGGUGGGGUAACGGCCUACCAAGGCAACGAUCUGCAGUUGGUCUGAGAGGACGACCAGCCACACUGGGACUGAGACACGGCACAGACUCCUACGGGAGGCAGCAGUGGGGAAUUUUGGACAAUGGGCGCAAGCCUGAUCCAGCAAUGCCGCGUGCAGGAAGAAGGCCUUCGGGUUGUAAACUGCUUUUGUCAGGGAAGAAAUCUUCUGGGCUAAUACCCCGGGAGGAUGACGGUACCUGAAGAAUAAGCACCGGCUAACUACGUGCCAGCCGCCGCCGUAA